GGAAAACUGGCUAGCCAUAUGUAGAAAGCUGAAACUGGAUCCCUUCCUUACACCUUACACAAAAAUCAAUUCAAGAUGGAUUAAAGACUUAAACGUUAGACCUAAAACCAUAAAAACCCUAGAAGAAAACCUAGGCAUUACCAUUCAGGACAUAGGCAUGGGCAAGGACUUCAUGUCUAAAACACCAAAAGCAAUGGCAACAAAAGACAAAAUUGACAAAUGGGAUCUAAUUAAAGAGCUUCUGCACAGCAAAAGAAACUGCCAUCAGAGUGAACAGGCAACCUACAAAAUGGGAGAAAAUGUUCGCAACCUACUCAUCUGACAAAGGGCUAAUAUCCAGAAUCUACAAUGAACUCCAACAAAGUUACAAGAAAAAAACAACCCCAUCAAAAAGUGGGCGAAGGACAUGAACAGACACUUCUCAAAAGAAGACAUUUAUGCAGCCAAAAAACACACGAAAAAAUGCUCACCAUCACUGGCCAUCAGAGAAAUGCAAAUCAAAACCACAAUGAGAUACCAUCUCACACCAGUUAGAAUGGCAAUCAUUAAAAAGUCAGGAAACAACAGGUGCUAGAGAGGAUGUGGAGAAAUCGGAACACUUUUACACUGUUGGUGGGACUGUAAAC
rnacentral:lncRNA from 10 species